GAUGAAGAACGCAGCGAAAUGCGAUACGUAAUGUGAAUUGCAGAAUUCAGUGAAUCAUCGAAUCUUUGAACGCAUAUUGCGCUCUCUGGUAUUCCGGAGAGCAUGCUUGUUUGAGUAUCAGUAAACACCUCAACUCCCUUUUCUUUUUUGAAAUUGGAGCUGGACUUGAGUGAUCCCAACGCUUUCUUCCAAGAAAGUGGCGGGUUGCUUGAAAUGCAGGUGCAGCUGAACUUUUCUCUGAGCUAUAAGCAUAUCUAUUUAGUCUGCCUAAAAAACAGAUUAUUACCUUUGCUGCAGCUAACAUAAAGGAGACUAGUUCUUGUGCUGACUGAUGCAGGAUUCACAGAGACAGCUUCGGUUGACUUUGUAAACUCGAUCUCAAAUCAAGUAAGACUACCCGCUGAACUUAAGCAUAUCAAUAAGCGGAGGA
rnacentral:misc_RNA from 1 species